UGGCGCACGGGUGAGUAACGCGUAACUGACCUACCCCGAAGUCUGGAAUAACUGGCCGAAAGGUCAGCUAAUACCGGAUACCCAGAUGACUUCUGAGUCAUCUGGAAAGAUUUAUUGCUUUGGGAUGGGGUUACGUUCCAUCAGCUGGUUGGUAGGGUAAAGGCCUACCAAGGCGACGACGGAUAGCCGGCCUGAGAGGGUGGCCGGCCACAGGGGCACUGAGACACGGGCCCC
rnacentral:rRNA from 1 species